rnacentral:rRNA from 1 species
CAGUCGCCACGGUAAUACGAAGGGUGCAAGCGUUACUCGGAAUUACUGGGCGUAAAGCGUGCGUAGGUGGUGGUUUAAGUCCGUUGUGAAAGCCCUGGGCUCAACCUGGGAAUUGCAGUGGAUACUGGGUCACUAGAGUGUGGUAGAGGAUAGUGGAAUUUCCGGUGUAGCAGUGAAAUGCGUAGAGAUCGGAAGGAACAUCUGUGGCGAAGGCGACUAUCUGGGCCAACACUGACACUGAGGCACGAAAGCGUGGGGAGCAAACAGGAUUAGAGACCCGCGUAGUCCCUGUCUCUUAUAC